UUGAACGCUGGCGGCAUGCUUUACACAUGCAAGUCGAACGGCAGCGGGGGCUUCGGCCUGCCGGCGAGUGGCGAACGGGUGAGUAAUGCAUCGGAACGUACCCAGUCGUGGGGGAUAACUACGCGAAAGCGUAGCUAAUACCGCAUACGCCCUGAGGGUGAAAGCGGGGGAUCGCAAGACCUCGCGCUAUUGGAGCGGCCGAUGGCAGAUUAGGUAGUUGGUGGGGUAAAGGCCUACCAAGCCUACGAUCUGUAGCUGGUUUGAGAGGACGACCAGCCACACUGGGACUGAGACACGGCCCAGACUCCUACGGGAGGCAGCAGUGGGGAAUUUUGGACAAUGGGCGCAAGCCUGAUCCAGCCAUGCCGCGUGCGGGAAGAAGGCCUUCGGGUUGUAAACCGCUUUUGUCAGGGAAGAAAUACUCUGGGCUAAUACCCUGGGGUGAUGACGGUACCUGAAGAAUAAGCACCGGCUAACUACGU
rnacentral:rRNA from 1 species